rnacentral:misc_RNA from 1 species
AAGAGUUGCAAAACUCCCAAACCAUUGUGAACAUACCUUCAACGUUGCUUCGGCGGGUUGGCCCCGGUCUCCGGGGUCCCCGGCCCUACCCGGGCGCCCGCCGGAGGUAUCUAACUCUUGAACUUUUAUGGCCUCUCUGAGUCUUUGUACUUAAUAAGUCAA